GACGAACGCUGGCGGCGUGCUUAACACAUGCAAGUCGAACGGAAAGGCCCUGCUUUUGUGGGGUGCUCGAGUGGCGAACGGGUGAGUAACACGUGAGUAACCUGCCCUUGACUUUGGGAUAACUUCAGGAAACUGGGGCUAAUACCGGAUAGGAGCUCCUGCUGCAUGGUGGGGGUUGGAAAGUUUCGGCGGUUGGGGAUGGACUCGCGGCUUAUCAGCUUGUUGGUGGGGUAGUGGCUUACCAAGGCUUUGACGGGUAGCCGGCCUGAGAGGGUGACCGGCCACAUUGGGACUGAGAUGCGGCCCAGACUCAUACGGGAGGCAGCAGUGGGGAAUAUUGCACAAUGGGCGGAAGCCUGAUGCAGCAACGCCGCGUGCGGGAUGACGGCCUUCGGGUUGUAAACCGCUUUCGCCUGUGACGAAGCGUGAGUGACGGUAAUGGGUAAAGAAGCACCGGCGAACUACGU
rnacentral:rRNA from 1 species